GCCGGAGUGGCGGAAUGGCAGACGCUGGGGUCUUAAAAACCCCUGAGGGCAACCUCGUGCGGGUUCGAGACCCGCCUCCGGCACCA
rnacentral:tRNA from 1 species